rnacentral:rRNA from 1 species
GAUGAACGCUGGCGGCGUGCCUAAUACAUGCAAGUCGAGCGAACGGACGAGAAGCUUGCUUCUCUGAUGUUAGCGGCGGACGGGUGAGUAACACGUGGAUAACCUACCUAUAAGACUGGGAUAACUUCGGGAAACCGGAGCUAAUACCGGAUAAUAUUUUGAACCGCAUGGUUCAAAAGUGAAAGACGGUCUUGCUGUCACUUAUAGAUGGAUCCGCGCUGCAUUAGCUAGUUGGUAAGGUAACGGCUUACCAAGGCAACGAUGCAUAGCCGACCUGAGAGGGUGAUCGGCCACACUGGAACGGAGACACGGUCCAGACUCCUACGGGAGGCAGCAGUAGGGAAUCUUCCGCAAUGGGCGAGAGCCUGACGGAGCAACGCCGCGUGAGUGAUGAAGGUCUUCGGAUCGUAAAACUCUGUUAUUAGGGAAGAACAUAUGUGUAAGUAACUGUGCACAUCUUGACGGUACCUAAAGAGAAAGCCACGGCUAACUACGUG